CGGGCGCGGCGCCGGUCUAAGUCUCUUGGAACGGGGCGUCAUAGAGGGUGAGAAUCCCGUAUGUGACCGGUGACCAAGCCCAUGAGAGCUUCCUUCGACGAGUCGAGUUGUUUGGGAAUGCAGCUCAAAAUGGGUGGUAAAUUUCAUCUAAAGCUAAAUACUGGCCAGAGACCGAUAGCGCACAAGUAGAGUGAUCGAAAGAUGAAAAGCACUUUGGAAAGAGAGUCAAAAAGUACGUGAAAUUGUUGAAAGGGAAGCGCUUGCAACCAGACCUGCCCGCGGGCGAUCAGCCGUCCUUCUGGACGGUGUACUCGCCCGUGAUCAGGCCAGCAUCGGUUCGGGCGGCCGGAUAAAGGCCUCGGGAAUGUAGCUCCCUUCGGGGAGUGUUAUAGCCCUUGGUGCAAUGCGGCCAGCCUGGACCGAGGACCGCGGUCGGCUAGGAUGCUGGCGUAAUGGUUUAAGCGCCCUUUGAAACACGGCCAAGGAGUUAACAUUAUGGAGUGUUUGGGUGUCAAACCCAUACGCGUAAUAAAGUGAACGGAGGUGGGACCCUUAGGGGCACCAUCGACCGAUCCAGAUGUCUUCGGAUGGAUUUGAGUACGAGCAUAGCUGUUG
rnacentral:rRNA from 1 species